CACGCUGCAAUUUUUUGCAGCGUGCAAGGUACAACUUCAAUAGCCAUCGGAUGGCUGGAUGGAAGAGGGAGGAUAAGCUCUUCAUCCUCACCAUCCGAGAGAGGGUUUACGGAUUGGAGCUCAUAUAAAAGGAACAAGAAUCAGCAGCCGCAAGGAGGAGGAAGGAUAGAGAGCACGGCUGAAAGGAAAAUUCUGAAGAAAAACAGAAAUCAGAGAGAAUAGGCAUCAAGUGACGGCUGCAAAACCAAAAGGAAAACAGCAAGGAAGAAAAAAGGGAGUGAACGGCAAAAAGAAAGAAACAAGAGAAAGGCUUGCGAGGAAAAUGGGACAGGGAUAAUUGGCGGCAUAGGUUCUGGGCAGAAGAAAGGGCUGGGUUCAGAAAAGAAAGAGUGAAAGAGAGAGACCAAAGAGGGGAGGUCAAGAGUAGGAACGAAGCAGCACCAGAGGAGGAGGAAAACAAGAAACCGAGGGAAGUCUUGUCAGCGGGAAACCAAGGAGAAAGCCGGCAAAGGAAGGUACCGGAGCUGAGCAUGCACGCUGCAAUUUUUUGCAGCGUGCAAGGUACAACUUCAAUAGCCAUCGGAUGGCUGGAUGGAAGAGGGAGGAUAAGCUCUUCAUCCUCACCAUCCGAGAGAGGGUUUACGGAUUGGAGCUCAUAUAAAAGGAACAAGAAUCAGCAGCCGCAAGGAGGAGGAAGGAUAGAGAGCACGGCUGAAAGGAAAAUUCUGAAGAAAAACAGAAAUCAGAGAGAAUAGGCAUCAAGUGACGGCUGCAAAACCAAAAGGAAAACAGCAAGGAAGAAAAAAGGGAGUGAACGGCAAAAAGAAAGAAACAAGAGAAAGGCUUGCGAGGAAAAUGGGACAGGGAUAAUUGGCGGCAUAGGUUCUGGGCAGAAGAAAGGGCUGGGUUCAGAAAAGAAAGAGUGAAAGAGAGAGACCAAAGAGGGGAGGUCAAGAGUAGGAACGAAGCAGCACCAGAGGAGGAGGAAAACAAGAAACCGAGGGAAGUCUUGUCAGCGGGAAACCAAGGAGAAAGCCGGCAAAGGAAGGUACCGGAGCUGAGAUUUUCUGGGGGAAGGCAGGCAGUGGCUAAAACUAUGAUUUUAUUGUUUGACGCAAAGUAAUUUGGGUUGAAGAUUUGGGUCAUUUGGGUGAGGUAUCUACAAGUUUCAUCGAGGCAAAUAAACGUUUAUAAACAUGCUGGAAUUGUAGAAAGGAAGUUGAGCAAGUCUGUUCUAAUGUUGCGUUGGUCGCUGCUCUUCUUGUUCUUGUUGUUUGUUUGGGUGUCGGGUUAUGGUUUGGCAUAUAUUUGUGCAUACAAGUCUGCUGCAACAAGCUUGAAGUUGGCUUGUUGAAGCAGCGUGGAAUUUUUUCUUUUGAUUGCCCAAAGCUCGAAGCUUUCUUCUCUUAGGUUGCUGAAAUUUGUUGUUCAACUCUUAGUAUUUAUUGCUACUCCUGGAUUGCUGUGUCCAUUAUAUGCUCAUGAGAAAUCUAAUGAAUGUUAGGCUGCAAGUUUUCUGUGGUCUCUGGAAUGAAAGCUCAAAUGGCCAAAAAUUUUCCAAAUUGCCGCAUGCUCUCUCUUGCG